CGUAAAUUUUUAACUACACUUACAUCGCCCGGGAACUACGAGCAAAGCUUAAAACCCAAAGGACUUGACGGUACCCCACAUCCACCUAGAGGAGCCUGUCCUAUAAUCGAUAACCCCCGCUAAACCUCACCAUUUUUGGUUAAUCAGCCUGUAUACCUCCGUCGUCAGCUUACCUCGUGAGCGAUCUAUAGUGAGCUUAAUGUCCACACGUCAAUACGUCAGGUCAAGGUGCAGUAAAUAAAAUGGGAAGAGAUGGGCUACACUCUCUAAUAUAGAAUAUACGAAAGACUAUAUAUGAAACCUAGUCAAAAGGCGGAUUUAGUAGUAAAAAGAGACCAUUAAGCUCUUUUUAACACGGCACUGGGGUGUGUACACACCGCCCGUCACCCUCUUCAAUACCAAAAAUAGUAUAUAACAUAAAUUAGUAAACUAGAAGAGGCAAGUCGUAACAUGGUAAGUAUACCGGAAGGUGUGCUUGGAAA
rnacentral:rRNA from 1 species